rnacentral:rRNA from 1 species
AUCCUGCCAGUAGUUAUAUGCUUGUCUCAAAGAUUAAGCCAUGCAUGUCUAAGUACACACGAAUUAAAAGUGAAACCGCAAAAGGCUCAUUAUAUCAGUUAUGGUUCCUUAGAUCGUUAACAGUUACUUGGAUAACUGUGGUAAUUCUAGAGCUAAUACAUGCAAUUAAAACAUGAACCUUAUGGGACAUGUGCUUUUAUUAGGCUAAAACCAAGCGAUCGCAAGAUCGUUAUAUUGGUUGAACUCUAGAUAACAUGCAGAUCGUAUGGUCAUGUACCGACGACAGAUCUUUCAAAUGUAUGCCCUAUCAACUUUUGAUGGUAGUAUCUAGGACUACCAUGGUUGCAACGGGUAACGGGGAAUCAGGGUUCGAUUCCGGAGAGGGAGCCUGAGAAACGGCUACCACAUCUAAGGAAGGCAGCAGGCGCGUAAAUUACCCACUCCCAGCUCGGGGAGGUAGUGACGAAAAAUAACAAUACAGGACUCAUAUCCGAGGCCCUGUAAUUGGAAUGAGUACACUUUAAAUCCUUUAACAAGGACCAAUUGGAGGGCAAGUCUGGUGCCAGCAGCCGCGGUAAUUCCAGCUCCAAUAGCGUAUAUUAAAGUUGUUGCGGUUAAAACGUUCGUAGUUGAACUUGUGCUUCAUACGGGUAGUACAACUUACAAUUGUGGUUAGUACUAUACCUUUAUGUAUGUAAGCGUAUUACCGGUGGAGUUCUUAUAUGUGUUGAGAUACUUGUAUUUUUUCAUAUGUUCCUCCUAUUUAAAAACCUGCAUUAGUGCUCUUAAACGAGGGUUAUUGUGGGCCGGUACAAUUACUUUGAACAAAUUAGAGUGCUUAAAGCAGGCUUCAAAUGCCUGAAUAUUCUGUGCAUGGGAUAAUGAAAUAAGACCUCUGUUCUGCUUUCAUUGGUUUUCAGAUCAAGAGGUAAUGAUUAAUAGAAGCAGUUUGGGGGCAUUAGUAUUACGACGCGAGAGGUGAAAUUCUUGGACCGUCGUAAGACUAACUUAAGCGAAAGCAUUUGCCAAAGAUGUUUUCAUUAAUCAAGAACGAAAGUUAGAGGU